rnacentral:rRNA from 1 species
CUACGGGGGGCAGCAGUGAGGAAUUUUGCGCAAUGGGCGAAAGCCUGACGCAGCAACGCCGCGUGAGUGAUGAAGGCCUUCGGGUCGUAAAGCUCUGUCAAGUGGGAAGAACCUAUGUAAUGUUAAUAUCAUUAUAUACUGACGGUACCACUGAAGGAAGCACCGGCUAACUCCGUGCCAGCAGCCGCGGUAAUACGGGGGGUGCAAGCGUUAUUCGGAAUCAUUGGGCGUAAAGGGCACGUAGGCGGCCUGGUAAGUCAGAUGUGAAAGCCCGGGGCUUAACCCCGGAAGUGCAUUUGAUACUGUCAGGCUUGAGUAUGGGAGAGGGAAGUGGAAUUCCUGGUGUAGAGGUGAAAUUCGUAGAUAUCAGGAGGAACACCGGUGGCGAAGGCGACUUCCCGGACCAAUACUGACGCUGAGGUGCGAAGGCGUGGGUAGCAAACAGGAUUAGAUACCCUUGUAGUC